GAUGAACGCUGGCGGCGUGCCUAAUACAUGCAAGUCGAGCGAACAGACGAGGAGCUUGCUCCUCUGACGUUAGCGGCGGACGGGUGAGUAACACGUGGAUAACCUACCUAUAAGACUGGGAUAACUUCGGGAAACCGGAGCUAAUACCGGAUAAUAUAUUGAACCGCAUGGUUCAAUAGUGAAAGACGGUUUUGCUGUCACUUAUAGAUGGAUCCGCGCCGCAUUAGCUAGUUGGUAAGGUAACGGCUUACCAAGGCAACGAUGCGUAGCCGACCUGAGAGGGUGACCGGCCACACGGGAAGUGACACCGGGCCCACCCUCCUGCGGGGGGGAGCAGGGGGGAUUUUUCCGCAAUGGGCGAAAGCCUGACGGAGCACCGCCGCGUGAGUAAUAAAGGUCUUCGGAUAGUAAAACUCUUUUAUUGGGAAAAAACAAAUUUGUAAGUAACUAUGCCCGUCUGGACGGUACCUAAUCAGAAAGCCACGGCUAACAACGUG
rnacentral:rRNA from 1 species